rnacentral:rRNA from 1 species
AACACAUGCGAGUCGAACGGUAACAGGAAACAGCUUGCUGCUUUGCUGACGAGUGGCGGACGGGUGAGUAAUGUCUGGGAAACUGCCUGAUGGAGGGGGAUAACUACUGGAAACGGUAGCUAAUACCGCAUAACGUCGCAAGACCAAAGAGGGGGACCUUCGGGCCUCUUGCCAUCGGAUGUGCCCAGAUGGGAUUAGCUAGUAGGUGGGGUAACGGCUCACCUAGGCGACGAUCCCUAGCUGGUCUGAGAGGAUGACCAGCCACACUGGAACUGAGACACGGUCCAGACUCCUACGGGAGGCAGCAGUGGGGAAUAUUGCACAAUGGGCGCAAGCCUGAUGCAGCCAUGCCGCGUGUAUGAAGAAGGCCUUCGGGUUGUAAAGUACUUUCAGCGGGGAGGAAGGGAGUAAAGUUAAUACCUUUUGCUCAUUGACGUUACCCGCAGAAGAAGCACCGGCUAAACUCCGUGCCAGCAGGCCGCGGUAAUACGGGAGGGGUGCAAGCG